rnacentral:rRNA from 1 species
UACGGAGGGUCCAAGCGUUAUCCGGAUUUAUUGGGUUUAAAGGGUGCGUAGGCGGCACAGUAAGUUAGAGGUGAAAUCCGGAGGCUCAACCUUCGAACUGCCUCUGAUACUGCUGAGCUAGAGAUUGGAUGCUGUGGGCGGAGUGUGUAGUGUAGCGGUGAAAUGCUUAGAGAUCACACAGAACACCGAUUGCGAAGGCAGCUCACAAAUCCACUUCUGACGUUGAGGCACGAAAGCGUGGGUAGCAAACAGGAUUAGAUACCCUGGUAGUCCACGCAGUAAACGAUGAUAGCUCGUUGUCGGCGAUACACAGUCGGUGACUUAGCGAAAGCGUUAAGCUAUCCACCUGGGGAGUACGUUCGCAGGAAUGAA